rnacentral:sRNA from 1 species
UAAUCUCGUGUCUGCGACUUCGCCUUC